UGACUGAAGUCUAGGUUGGUUCUGUGUGAUUUGUUUGUAAAGGAGCUUAAAACUAAGAUGUUCUUUCAGGAAGGCACCUGGUUGUGGAGUGACGGUUCCAGAUUUGUGUUUAAUUCCACUUGGACCCCCGGUGAACCAAACAAUCGCUUUCAAAUCGAACAUUGCUUGGAGUUCAACUACGAUGGGCUAAAUACUACAGCAGAUGCAGACUGUGCGAAGAAGCAUCCCUACGUCUGUGCCAGACCCCUGUAACCUUCUUAUGCCUUUUAAAUGCCCAUAUGGGUUUCCUGCUGGUGAUGUCACUUCCCCCUGGAUGUUAAGCCUUGAUGACUUCCCUGCUGGAAGAUCCUGAUUUCACUUCAUUUGAUCACUUAAAUAAACUUGUUUCUCUGAAA